rnacentral:misc_RNA from 1 species
GAAAUGCGAUAAGUAAUGUUACUUGCAGAAUUCAGUGAAUCAUCGAAUCUUUGAACGCACCUUGCGCUCCUUGGUAUUCCUUGGAGCAUGCCUGUUUGAGUAUCAUGAAAUCUUCAAAGUAAAUCUUUUGUUAACUCAAUUGGUUUCUACUUUGGUAUUGGAGGUCUUUGCAGCUUCACACCUGCUCCUCUUUGUUCAUUAGCUGGAUCUCAGUGUUAUGCUUGGUUCCACUCGGCGUGAUAAGUUAUCUAUCGCUGAGGACACUGUAAAAGGUGGCCAAGGUAAAUGCAGAUGAACCGCUUCUAAUAGUCCAUUGACUUGGACAAUACUUUUAUGAUCUGAUCUCAAAUCAGGUAGGACUACCCGCUGAACUUAAGC